CGAGCCAUUCCUCUUCUGCACUCCCCCGCCGAUCUGCAGCUUCUCUCCCCCAAAUCCCUCUCCGGACCGCAGCAUCCUCGCCGCCGUGACCUUCCACGGAGAUGAGGCGCCUUUCUCCGCCUCCCGUCUAAUCCCAUCCCGCCACCGACGGUAGUGAGGGCGCCGGCGGCCACCGUGGGAGGAGGAGGCGUGUGGGGGAUCGCGCAUCGGAACGUCUCCGGCGGCCAAUAGCAGAAUUUUGUUCAAGAAUGAACAUCAGACCACUCACCAUCAUCUUGCCAUGCUAGUUGGUUGAUAAAACUAGAAGUGCACAACGCCCUUAUGAGCAACUGUCGGAAUGCAGAGCUUUUUUGGCCAGAAUCAGCUGCGAGUGGGAAGAAGAAAGCUAGUGAUAAUGAAAGUUUUCGAUGGUCUCUGAGGACGAUUCUUGCGCGAUUUCAGGGGAAAUCGAGAGCCUGAGGUUUCAGCUGGAUGACAAGGUGAAACAACUACACUACUGGAAAAUUGAAGUUGGGAGUUAAACUGACUCUCAAAGUCUCAAGCCCAAGGAGAUGAAAUGCUUGAACACGCAAACCCAGGAGCUCAAAGUCUGGAACAAGGGCUUGGAAAAGAAUGUCGUAGAGGUUAGAAGAUAGUGAAGGGUUACAAAAGGAUUUUUGUGGUUGAGAUCUGAAUGGCCAUUUUUUCUUUUUUGCCAUCAUGCCAUGAUUAUUUGCGUCCAUAUGUAAUAUGUUCAAACCAUGAUGCCAUUUUGUAAAGUCGUAGAUGCCACAGAGCUGAUGUACCUUCUUCUAAUUUUACACUUUAGGAUUGGACAUUCUCUUACCAGUCAUGCUAUCAAAUGUGUUGUCUGCCAACUGUUUAAACUUUACAUUCUCUAUUAAUCAAUCUCCGAGCAGUCAUGAAGUUCCAUACAUUAGUUUACUCAAAUUUAGCAUGGAUAUGCAUCUGCAUCUUUCACUUGUUUCCAUAGUAAUUCCAUACAUUUCUUAUUUGCAUGCUCUUGAUGAUGAGCUCGCUCUUGAUGAUGAGCUCAGUUGCAGAACUUAGUAAAAGCGGGGUCCCAAGGAUCAAAGCAUAGGUGAAAGAUGUUAGGAAGGGGGGAAUUCACAUCAACUACCAAGAGAAAAGACUUGCAGGUUUUCAUCACGUGUCUGCCUAUUAAAGUUGUGUAUAUUUUUUAAAAUUUAAAUCUUCCAAUAUGCAUAUGCUGAAAAUCAUGAAUGUUUUCAUAAUUUUUGAAUUACUUUCUGUUGACUCAGAACGAAAUAAGAGAAAUUAGCUCUUAAGAGUAAAAUGUAUUUGUCUUUUAAUGUGGUUGGCUGUAGUUGUUCUUGCUAAGGGAAAAUUUAGUUUGUAUGCCCACCUUAUAGUGUCUACUUCAUACUGCAGAUAUAGGAACUAGUAAAAGCAGUGUGAGAUUCAGUUCCAAAUCCAAAGCCUUGUACCCCUUCCUUAAAAAAUCUACUGCUUAUAUAUAGUUAAAGGUUGAUCUUAAAUGCAGAUGGUGACAAACUAUGCUAAAUGGUUGAUCAAGAAAUGGGAAGAUUAGGCAUCCAAUAGCAAUAGCAAUAGCAAUAGCACAGAGAUAGGUUCUAAAAAAAAAGCACGGAGAUAGAGCUGACUAGAGGAAACAAUUCCAAAAGUUGGCAAUAGAUGUUGCAUCCGGUACUUGUUUCUGAAGUUACUAAAGGGAGGGAAAAGAAUUGUGUAGAAACAUAUUUGGGCAAGGAGGGUGUAGCGCACGAAUAAUCUGCCACCUACCGUUGCGCCUCUCCUCGCCGCCACUGGCCACCGCAAGCGAGGAAGGCAAUGCCGGCGGCCCCGCACUCCUCCUGGAUGAGCGGCUGCCAUCGGUAACUGCAUGUGAGGAAGGUGACACGGCUGCGAAUCGGUAGUUUUAUUUGCGAGCCAGACUCGCUAGAGCCACGCGUGCCUCUUCGCUGCACGCUUCGGAGAGCGCGGGAGACGGACCGGAUGUCUCAUAACUCCCUUCCCUCUCUCGUGUCACCGUCCACUCCUCCAUUCACACCACUCUCUCACUCUCCUCACCGCUCCUUACUCUCCUCCGAUGGCUCGCCCGCCGCCGCGCCGCCCGCUGACCCCAUCAUCGCCGGAAACAACAAUAUCCAAGACCGGUGGGUGGCCGGCCUCGUGAAUUCAGGCAUUGACCUGAUGGCAGCCAUCCGCGCUCCGUCGCCCUUUUGCACCAGGCCCCAUCAUCGGGCUGAUGAGGUGUCGGCUGCUUCGGCUAUGCCGCUGUAUCCGGACCUGGUGGUCCUGGGUUCGGUUGCGCCGCUCGAGGAGACAUCAGGUGCACCGCUGUUCAGAACCCCAGUGGGUGGAGGGUUUUUUUUAACCCCCAUUCGAGUGUUGCCAAUGCUUUGUUACUAACACAAGUCAUCUUACGUGACAAGAUCAUGAAGAUGGAGUGGGACGUAGCCGGUGGAGGAGCGCAUGCCGUGGCUGGCACCGAGGGCGCCGAGGACCUGAUCCUAACAAAUUGCUUGCUCAAAAGGGUGAACCUGCCUGGCAGGAUCGCUGCCAUGAGCCAACCACCUUCACGGGGACGGUCUCUGAGCACCGGCCACGAAGAGGGGGCAUGAGAGCCGUUGCGUUUCUACGUUCAGAUCAAGGACAUGGAGGAUCUCACCAUGCUCAUCAUCCCGCCCAAGUUCACGGAGGUGAUGAAGUAGCGGCUGGUGAUCAAGGCCCCGCGCGUCGUUACACUGUCGGCCAACAAGUGGUGCGAGUUCUGGGUUCAGGUCCAGAACUUCUUGGGUCAGAUGGUCCUUAACCGAGGCUGGCAGUACUUCUGCCGCCGCCACAGGAUCGUCCCCGGCGACCUCCUCGUCUUGUGAAUCUCCGGGCUUGGCCUCAAGGUGCAGAUCUACAACCACGACAACUCGAUCAUGUGCAGGGGUGCGCUGCAACAGGCACAACUGCAUUGGCAACAUUUCUCUCGCGCUCUAGAAGUCUUAAGUAUAAACAUGUUAGUAGUUUGUGUUGAUGAUGUGAACUAGUGCUGCAAACUUGUUUAUAUUUUGCCAGGAUCAACACGUGAUGUGAAGUAGGGGGCAUGGGAUGCCCCUGUUGUCUUAAACCUUAAACCCUACUAUUAGUAUGCAUGGUUAUCAGUGGUUGUUUAUCUGUUGUUGUGUUGUUAAUUAGGUAGUUUGUUCUUAUGCUAUGCUUGUUGUUGUGCUACAAAUGUGAUGGUAAGGUCACCGAAUUUAAAAGGGAUGAGCAGAACACCAACGUGCACGCAGCCAAACAGGUAUGAUGUGCAUCUGCCGACUUCUGAAGCACAUAUGUGUGCAACCAAACAGCUAGCCCUAAAAUCACCACUGAUGCAAUAUGAACGACCAAACAACAUGCAGAUAUUGAUUUUUAACCUGUUUUUACUCAGCCAGGCUGAACUAAGACAAAUAUGCAAUGCUGGUAAUAUUUGACAUGACAACCAGACACGCGCUUAGCAACUCAGCUCAUUCACUAGGAGGGAUCCUGGACGCGUGGAGGUGGAACCACUGCAAAGCUAGCAGUAUCUAGGCACCUGCGUGAAAACGUUGCCCAGCAUCACAGUCAAACGAUUUUGAUGUGUUGCCUUGAUAUUCCAUGAGUUAAAAGCACUGGGAGUCCUACAACUUGCAUCAAAUGUGAUGGUUUGGUUCAAGAACUUGCAUUUUGACCCUAUCCAGUCCUUGAACUUGCAUCAAAUGUGCAAAUUUGGUCCUGACCAAUCACAAAGUGACAAGUGGACGCCUGGUGCCGACCGGUCAGCACGUGGCAUUUUGCAAAAAGGCCCCUGCCUUUGGUUUGAAUCUACCCGCAGGACACGGUUCCAUUCCAAGCAAGGAUUCCUCACCAUCACUUUGCAAAAAGUAUAGGUCACAGCGCACGUAGUAUCCAACAUUUGAAGCAGAAAAACAAACGUACCAGGGCGGUCACCCCCUUUUACACAAAACUUUUGGCGAGAAAAAAAGACAAAGGGAGGGAUCAAUGUAAGUAGAAAUCGUCUCAGUUUGGACUCGAUAGAAGAGGAAAACGAGCAGAGGAGACGCAACAGCACUAAGGCCAACUCCACCGCACGACCCCAUUUUGUCUGGGUGUGUCCGUUUGAGGUAAAACGGAUAUACCAGACGACCCAGCGGCAGAACUCAUUUUAUCUUUUUGUCCGUUUCGUGUCCGUUUCGCCUCAUCUCUGGAUCAAAGUUGGUCUCGUUUUAAGGCCAAAGCGGACA